AGAGUUUGAUCCUGGCUCAGGACGAACGCUGGCGGCACGCUUAACACAUGCAAGUCGAACGAGAGAAGAGGAGCUUGCUUUUCUGAUCUAGUGGCGGACGGGUGAGUAACACGUGAGCAAUCUGCCUUUCAGAGGGGGAUACCGAUUGGAAACGAUCGUUAAUACCGCAUAACAUAAUUGAACCGCAUGAUUUGAUUAUCAAAGAUUUAUCGCUGAAAGAUGAGCUCGCGUCUGAUUAGCUAGUUGGUAAGGUAACGGCUUACCAAGGCGACGAUCAGUAGCCGGACUGAGAGGUUGAUCGGCCACAUUGGGACUGAGACACGGCCCAGACUCCUACGGGAGGCAGCAGUGGGGAAUAUUGCACAAUGGAGGAAACUCUGAUGCAGCGAUGCCGCGUGAGGGAAGAAGGUUUUAGGAUUGUAAACCUCUGUCUUCAGGGACGAAAAAAGACGGUACCUGAGGAGGAAGCUCCGGCUAACUACGUGCCAGCAGCCGCGGUAGUACGUAGGGAGCGAGCGUUGUCCGGAAUUACUGGGUGUAAAGGGAGCGUAGGCGGGAUCGCAAGUCAGAUGUGAAAACUAUGGGCUUAACCCAUAAACUGCAUUUGAAACUGUGGUUCUUGAGUGAAGUAGAGGUAAGCGGAAUUCCUAGUGUAGCGGUGAAAUGCGUAGAUAUUAGGAGGAACAUCAGUGGCGAAGGCGGCUUACUGGGCUUUAACUGACGCUGAGGCUCGAAAGCGUGGGGAGCAAACAGGAUUAGAUACCCUGGUAGUCCACGCCGUAAACGAUGAUUACUAGGUGUGGGGGGACUGACCCCUUCCGUGCCGCAGCGAACGCAAUAAGUAAUCCACCUGGGGAGUACGACCGCAAGGUUGAAACUCAAAGGAAUUGACGGGGGCCCGCACAAGCAGUGGAGUAUGUGGAUUAAUUCGAAGCAACGCGAAGAACCUUACCAGGUCUUGACAUCGUAUGCAUAGCUCAGAGAUGAGUGAAAUCUCUUCGGAGACAUAUAGACAGGUGGUGCAUGGUUGUCGUCAGCUCGUGUCGUGAGAUGUUGGGUUAAGUCCCGCAACGAGCGCAACCCUUACUGUUAGUUGCUACGCAAGAGCACUCUAGCAGGACUGCCGUUGACAAAACGGAGGAAGGUGGGGAUGACGUCAAAUCAUCAUGCCCCUUAUGACCUGGGCCUCACACGUACUACAAUGGCUGUCAACAGAGGGAAGCAAAGCCGCGAGGUGGAGCGAACCCCUAAAAGCAGUCUUAGUUCGGAUUGUAGGCUGCAACCCGCCUACAUGAAGUCGGAAUUGCUAGUAAUCGCAGAUCAGCAUGCUGCGGUGAAUACGUUCCCGGGCCUUGUACACACCGCCCGUCACGCCAUGGGAGUCGGUAACACCCGAAGCCUGUAGUCUAACCGCAAGGAGGACGCAGUCGAAGGUGGGAUUGAUGACUGGGGUGAAGUCGUAACAAGGUA
rnacentral:rRNA from 1 species